rnacentral:rRNA from 1 species
AUUGAACGCUGGCGGCAGGCUUAACACAUGCAAGUCGAACGAGUGGCGGACGGGUGAGUAAUGCUUGGGAAUCUUGCUUAUGGAUGGGGAUAACUACGGGAAACUGUAGCUAAUACCGCGUACCAUAGGAUGAGCCCACGUGGGUUUAGGUAGUUGGUGAGGUAAUGGCUCACCAAGCCGACGAUCUCUAGCUGGUCGGAGAGGCUGACCAGCCACACUGGGACUGUGACACGGACCAGACUCCUACGUGAGGCAGCAGUGGGGAAUAUUGCGCAAGGGGGGCAACCCUGAUCCAGCCAACCCGCGUGUGCGAUGAAGGCCUUCGGGUUGUAAAGCACUAUUGGCAGGAAAGCGGUACCUGCAGAAUAAGCACCGGCUAACUACGUGCCAGCAGCCGCGGUAAUAC